UGGGGAAUAUUGCACAAUGGGCGCAAGCCUGAUGCAGCCAUGCCGCGUGUAUGAAGAAGGCCUUCGGGUUGUAAAGUACUUUCAGCGGGGAGGAAGGUGUUGUGGUUAAUAACCGCAGCAAUUGACGUUACCCGCAGAAGAAGCACCGGCUAACUCCGUGCCAGCAGCCGCGGUAAUACGGAGGGUGCAAGCGUUAAUCGGAAUUACUGGGCGUAAAGCGCACGCAGGCGGUCUGUCAAGUCGGAUGUGAAAUCCCCGGGCUCAACCUGGGAACUGCAUUCGAAACUGGCAGGCUAGAGUCUUGUAGAGGGGGGUAGAAUUCCAGGUGUAGCGGUGAAAUGCGUAGAGAUCUGGAGGAAUACCGGUGGCGAAGGCGG
rnacentral:rRNA from 1 species